GAACGCUGGCGGCGUGCUUAACACAUGCAAGUCGAACGGUGAAGCCCUUCGGGGUGGAUCAGUGGCGAACGGGUGAGUAACACGUGGGCAAUCUGCCCUGCACUCUGGGACAAGCCUUGGAAACGAGGUCUAAUACCGGAUAUUACCCUUGACCGCAUGCUCUUGGGUGGAAAGCUCCGGCGGUGCAGGAUGAGCCCGCGGCCUAUCAGCUUGUUGGUGGGGUGAUGGCCUACCAAGGCGACGACGGGUAGCCGGCCUGAGAGGGCGACCGGCCACACUGGGACUGAGACACGGCCCAGACUCCUACGGGAGGCAGCAGUGGGGAAUAUUGCACAAUGGGCGAAAGCCUGAUGCAGCGACGCCGCGUGAGGGAUGAAGGCCUUCGGGUUGUAAACCUCUUUCAGCAGGGAAGAAGCGCAAGUGACGGUACCUGCAGAAGAAGCACCGGCUAACUACGUGCCAGCAGCCGCGGUAAUACGUAGGGUGCGAGCGUUGUCCGGAAUUAUUGGGCGUAAAGAGCUCGUAGGCGG
rnacentral:rRNA from 1 species